rnacentral:rRNA from 1 species
GAUGAACGCUGGCGGCGUGCCUAAUACAUGCAAGUCGAGCGAACACACGAGGAGCUUGCUCCUCUCACGUUACCGGCGGAUGGGUGAGUCACCCGUGCGUACCCGACCUAUAAGACUGGGAUAACUUCGGGAAACCGGAUCCAACACCGGAUAAUAUAUUGAACCGCAUGGUUCAUUAGUGCUCGACGGUUUUGCUGUCACUUUGAGAUGGAUCCGCGCUGCAUUAGCUAGUUGGUAAGGUAACGGCUUACCAAGGCAACGAUGCGUAGCCGACCUGACAGGGUACUCGGCCACACUGGAACGGAGCCCGGGUCCAACCUCCAACGGAAGGAGGCAGGAGGAAAUCUUCCGCAAUGGGCGAAAGCCUGACGGAGCAACGCCGGGGGAGGGAUGAGGGUCUUGGGUUCGUAAAACUCUGUUAUUGGGAAAAAAAAAAUGUGUAAAUUACUAUGCGCGUAUGAACGGUACCUAAUAAGAAGGCCACGGCUAACUACGU